AGUGUAUGAUGACACUUUGAUAAAGCUGAAGACUCCUAUGUGUACAGAAAGUAUGUCAACAUUGAAAAUCUGAGAGAACA
rfam:Otolemur garnettii contig019754, whole genome shotgun sequence.